rnacentral:hammerhead_ribozyme from 1 species
GUACCGCUGAAGAGUCCCAAACUAGGGCGAAACAGUCGUCCAGUAC